GGCACGGAAUCGACAUGUGCUUAGAUUUCACCCGAAACGGACUAUUGCCUGCCCGUUUUGCAACUACAAAUCUAAGCGAGCUGACCAUCUGAAAAGGCACGUGGAGAAACAGCACGAGCAGGCCAUCCAGGUAGCUGAGCCAACUGAAUGAAGGAAGUUAUCCGACCUGAACUUUACCUACUACUAUGCUGCGUCUACUACAC